UACAGAGGGGGCAAGCGUUGCCCGGAUUUAUUGGGCGUAAAGGGCGCGUAGGCGGCCACGCACGUCCGUUGUGAAAUCGCCCGGCUCAACUGGGCGGGGUCAGCGGAUACGGCGCGGCUGGAGCAAGCUAGGGGGCAAUGGAAUUCCCGGUGUAGUGGUGGAAUGCGUAGAUAUCGGGAGGAACACCAGUGGCGAAGGCGGUUGCCUGGAGCUUUGCUGACGCUGAAUAGCGAAAGCGUGGGUAGCGAACAGG
rnacentral:rRNA from 1 species